GACGAGCCACACGAACGUUAUUCGGAAUUACUGGGCUUAAAGGGUGCGUAGGCGGCGCGGUAAGUAGGGUGUGAAAUCCCUCGGCUCAACCGAGGAACUGCGCUCUAAACUACCGUGCUUGAGGGAGGUAGAGGUGAGCGGAACUUAGGGUGGAGCGGUGAAAUGCGUUGAUAUCCUAAGGAACACCGGUGGCGAAAGCGGCUCACUGGAUCUCUUCUGACGCUGAGGCACGAAAGCUAGGGUAGCGAACGGG
rnacentral:rRNA from 1 species